CUGUGCGAGUCCUUCUUCCUGGAUCUGGUGAGGUAAAUCAAGCAGCAGGUUUGGUACGACGUCCUCACUGCAAAGGCGCAUAAAGGAGGCCGGACUCUGGGUCUGCCCGUCACCCUGGACACAGUUUCUGUGUUCCAGCGUGGCGGCUCGGUGGUCUGCAGGUCAACAGGAAGUGGUUCCUGCACAGCCGAACAGCAGCAGCUCCCCCUCUCUAUCACGGUGGCCCUGAACUCUGAGGUGAGCAUCAAAGGGUUUCAGGUAGGCAAAUUAAAUACAGGUUACUUUCUGACCAAUAGUGAUACAGAACAAUGUCUUCAAUGUCUUGUAUUAAAGUCUUUGUUAAUGGCUGACAUUUUAGAGACGUUGUUGAACGUGCUGCUUAUGAGAUGUGUAUAUAUACAUAUUUUACUGUGCGGCGUGUUUGUACCCCGUCUCCAUGGUGACGGAAUGCUCGCCCCACAUGAGUGUGUAUUAUUCCAACAUUCAUUUGCAUACGGAAUCAGAAUAUUUGCAAACGGAAUCAGAUGUUUCUGUUCAUUGUCUUACUGAGUUCAGAGGGAGCAGUUCAGAUAUUUUCUCCAGAGAAUUUAUCAGCGACAUCUGUCCGUUACAGAGUUAAGUAGCCUUUUGAAAGAUUCAACACCCUUUUUCACAGACCACAUUCAGUCAGUCAUUUACCAUCAAAACAAAAACCUUUUU
ensembl:lncRNA